rnacentral:rRNA from 1 species
CAGUGGGGAAUCUUGCGCAAUGGGCGAAAGCCUGACGCAGCAACGCCGCGUGGGGGAUGAAGGCUCUCGGGUUGUAAACCCCUUUCAGCAGGGACGAAUCAAGACGGUACCUGCAGAAGAAGCCCCGGCUAACUACGUGCCAGCAGCCGCGGUAACACGUAGGGGGCAAGCGUUGUCCGGAUUUAUUGGGCGUAAAGAGCUCGUAGGUGGCUGAGUAAGUCGGAUGUUAAAUCCCCAGGCUCAACCUGGGACACCACCCGAUACUGCUCUGGCUAGAGUCCGGUAGGGGAGCGUGGAAUUCCUGGUGUAGCGGUGAAAUGCGCAGAUAUCAGGAGGAACACCAGCGGCGAAGGCGGCGCUCUGGGCCGGUACUGACACUGAGGAGCGAAAGCGUGGGUAGCAAACAGGAUUAGA